CCUUAUAGGUAGUCAACAUGAAGUUGUUGAUUGGAAUCCAGGAUUACAUCAGACCUUGUUACUGGAUAACUAUAUCUGUUUGAAUACAGCAUACAGCAGUUGUACACUUAAUUACCGCAUACAGUGGAGUUGUAUCCAGCUGUGUGAUAAUGCCAAACUCCUUAAAUGAGAGGCACGAAGGGCAAUAUUGGAGUAAUGUUCUUCAGUAAUUAGUGGACUUUCUGCACAAUUUGGACUUAAAUAGUUUUCUCUACCUUACCUCCACAUUGUGAGACCACGGUUGAUGAGAUGAGGCUGAAAUGUGAGGUCCGCUUCUGAUAGUGCUCCCACUUGUGAUGCUGCCUGAUGCUCAAGAGCUUUCUGGGGUCUUUGGAGGUUCAUGUUCUUGGGGAUGCCCAAGGUUGAGCUGGAUGGGGUGCUGAUGGUCCCUGUUCACUGCUGGAGGAUUGGACUAGAUGGCCUUUAAGGGUCCCUUCCAACUCAAAUGAUUUUAUGAUUCUAUAUUGUAAAUUCUCCUCAGUUAUGUGGACUGAAAUUUUCCUGUUUUUCAUUUCGUAUGCGAAGAACUCUGGACUUAGGCAAUAGAGUAAUAAGGGAUUUGGUAAUGCUAGAGUAAGAAGACAAACUCUUUUAGCAUUCUUAUAUAAUUCUGUUGUAAAUCAUAGCAACAACCAUACCUACCAUAUUCUUAAACAGCUAGUAGAAUGCCUCUCCUACUUGUGGCAGCUCAAUCUAAUGCCUUUGCUCUCAUUUACAUAUGCAUGGUAAAGAUCUGUAUUCUACAACAGUAAUUUAUUGGAGGAAAAGAAGCCUGGCUUGCUUUGCAU
rnacentral:lncRNA from 7 species